rnacentral:lncRNA from 1 species
CAUGGUAUAUGAGUAUGACUAUGGAUGCUUUAUUUUUAUGCUCAACCUCUAGCUAUUCUAACUCUUACUUUGAUGCUGCUUUACUUAUCCUAACUUAGGGUUAACUACCUCUCUAUAUAGCCUCAAAAAUUUCUAGUAUUUCCAUCAUUUUCCAUCUUCAUAAUCUAUUUUAAUUUUAGCCAACAUAAAUCCAACUUAUUAAUAAAAUAAUUUAGAAAUUUCAGAAAAUGGAUUGGUGAUAGCACUUCACCCUCAAAUUC